UGGACAGGGGGGUUCCCGCCCACCGGCAGGACCUGUCCGAACGGGCCGCGGGCGCCAGCGCCGAGCGGCCCCUGGUCGUCGCUCGGGGGUGGUCGCCG
rnacentral:sRNA from 1 species